ACUCUCGGCAACGGAUAUCUCGGCUCUCGCAUCGAUGAAGAACGUAGCGAACUGCGAUACUUGGUGUGAAUUGCAGAAUCCCGUGAACCAUCGAGUCUUUGAACGCAAGUUGCGCCCAAAGCCAUUAGGCCGAGGGCACGUCUGCCUGGGCGUCACGC
rnacentral:rRNA from 1 species